rnacentral:rRNA from 1 species
UGGGGAAUUUUGGACAAUGGGCGAAAGCCUGAUCCAGCAAUGCCGCGUGUGUGAAGAAGGCCUUCGGGUUGUAAAGCACUUUUGUCCGGAAAGAAAUCCUUGGCUCUAAUACAGUCGGGGGAUGACGGUACCGGAAGAAUAAGCACCGGCUAACUACGUGCCAGCAGCCGCGGUAAUACGUAGGGUGCAAGCGUUAAUCGGAAUUACUGGGCGUAAAGCGUGCGCAGGCGGUUUGCUAAGACCGAUGUGAAAUCCCCGGGCUCAACCUGGGAACUGCAUUGGUGACUGGCAGGCUAGAGUAUGGCAGAGGGGGGUAGAAUUCCACGUGUAGCAGUGAAAUGCGUAGAGAUGUGGAGGAAUACCGAUGGCGAAGGCAGCCCCUGGGCCAAUACUGACGCUCAUGCACGAAAGCGUGGGGAGCAAACAGGAUUAGAUACCCUGGUAGUCCACGCCCUAAACGAUGUCAACUAGUUGUUGGGGAUUCAUUUCCUUAGUAACGUAGCUAACGCGUGAAGUUGACCGCCUGGGGAGUACGGUCGCAAGAUUAAAACUCAAAGGAAUUGACGGGGUCAUAGCUGUUUCCU